GAGAGAGAGAGAGCGCGCAAGUGAGCACAAGCAGGGGAGGAGCAGAGAGAGAGGGAAACAUGAAAUUCAAAGCAGACUCCAGGCUCUUGGCUGUCAGCACAGAGCCUGACGUGGGCCCUGAACUCAUGAACUAUGAGAUCAUGACCUGAGCUGAUGUUGGAUGCUUAGCUGACUGAGCCACCCAGGCGUGCCUGGUCUUCAGAUUUUAACUGGCAUAUGGAGUAGUUUUUGGGGGUGGGGAGAAUCCAACUCUAAGAUUGCUCUUUAACUUUAAAACGUAGACGCCUUUAAAUUAAAUUGUGAGGAAAAACUCAACACACAACACAAAAAUUAAUGUCCUUCUGGGUGGAUGUGAGUUUAUAGCAAUGUCAUUCUAAAGAGCUAUGGUCUUUUAAUGUAGAAUUAGAGGAUUUAGUUUAAUGGGUCAUUCUUGUUGCAGAUUACCUAAUUUUUUCAGGUCGCUUUCCACUGCUGUGAGCUUGUCAUCAUAGGUUUGGCGAGAUGUCUCCAUGCCACCUGUAACAUUGUCCAUUUUUUCUACAACUAAGAUUUGGAAACUAAAGAUUAGUACACACACCUGCUCAUAAUUUAUUUUUCAGUUUCAACAAAAGACCAUUUCAUUACAGAAUACAGGAAACAGACUGACACAAAAAGAGUAUAAAUGAAAUCAAAUAUGAGGAAUAAGCCAUUCUCGUAGAAAAAUAACUUGUCACAAAACCCAGUGAUAGUUUAUUUGGUUGAGAACUGUAUGUUCUUAUGAUUCUGUAUUGCCUCAGAUGUUCCAGACCUUGUUUGAAACUAAUUUUUAAUUUUUAUGUAUUAUAUAAGCUUUUGAUCUGUAUUAUUUUCUAUAGGAACUUCCAUAGGUAGAUCAUUUACAAAAUCUCAUCAUUCAUCAGACUCCCUACUAUUCCUGGAAGGUGGUACUCACUUAUCUGGAAGCAGAGUCCAUAGCAAAGAACACCUAGCUUAAUUCUAUAAACAGUCUUUGUGAAAGGGAAACAGUGUUUGCCGUUCUCUUUCAGGAGGCCUGAAAAAUUUGGUUCUCCUUAGUGACAAUCUGUAGUUUAUCAGUUCCCAAGGAGAUGCCUAAGUUGGUUUCCAAACAAUGAUCUACGAAGACUUUUCCUUUUUUUUUUUUUCUUAGCAUUUUCUUGAUUGUACGUGAUAGGGAAAGAGUUAGUGAUACAAUGUUAAGUAAAAGCUUCUCUUCUCUUUGUUCUCAGAAGGCAGUCAUUCUCUAUGGUUGUGAAUAUGGUUUCUUUCUAAAAUAUCUAUUAAGAGUGUAUUUCUCCAGAAGUGACUCCUGUGAGAUCCAGCCUCCAGCAGCUUGAGAUGCAGUCUUUCUUGGUAUCAACGGUUUUCUGAAAAUACGGACUUUAUUUUUUUUUAAGCAUGAAUAUGUUUUGUAUGUUAAUUGUGAGGUAAUGGAGCCAGUUUGUUUUUAUUUAUCAAGUGUCCCACCCAUGCAAGACCGUGUUAGAAGAUUCCCCUGGCUCCUAUCAGGAAGCAGAAGUAUGCUCCCAUGUGUCUGUAUGACCUAAACUGACCCAGCCCUGUGGUGCCUAGCACCUUCCCUGGAGAACCUUGCCAUGCAGUCACUGUACCAAAUACCUUCCCACCCAAGCCCUUUCAUGUGUUCUUUCUACCUAGAAUGUUCUUCCCUGGACUCUUCACCACGCUAAGCCCUACUUGCUCUUCAAGACUCAGCUCAUCACUUCCUGUGGGAAAUCUUUGCUGCCGGGCAUCUUGCAGAAUUCUUUUGGCAAGUAGUCCUUUCCCUACUGUAGGACUUCCUUCAAUGUGUUAUCAUGGCUUGUUUACUAUUAGAUCCUUUAAGGCAGGAAAAUGUGUACGCAGUUUUAUUCGUACCUCUUAGUGUGUGGCACUUAGUAGGCAUUCAACACAUAUUUGUUUAUAAUGCUAUUUAUUUAAAUAAAUGAGAGUCUGCCUGCUGGCUACUGAGGCCUGUGAAAAACUGGCUGAGCUAGAUAGAGGUCAUGCAAACAAACAUACAAACCAGACGCCCCAGGGAAGCCUCAGCACUGGCAACGAGUACAACAUCCAGUUGAAUGAUGAUUGUUGUUUUGGUAAGUGACUAUAUAGACAAGAGAGGUACAGUUAUAGUAAUCUGUACCUUAGGAUUGUUAGAUAGGCAUGCACAUUCAUAAAUCCCUGAAACUGAACAAAAUGUUUCAUCUACAUUUAAGCAAAAUUAAACUUUUAAAAAAUAAAGUAUAAAAUGUUUAUGAGUUAAGAUUCAGUUUUGAUCCUCAAAUCAAAACACAUGCCUCAGUCUGUCCUCAAACCACACACAGGAUUUUAAGUCCUGCCCUUUUUUCCCCCGGAAGCCGAAAAAACCUCUAAAUAUGCUGACAGGCAGUCAUUUUUCUACCCUCUCUAAUUUUUCUUCCAUUUUAGUUUAAAAAAACACAGAAUUUUCAUGGACAGAUAAUUCAGGUUUGCGCAAAGGGAAUGAAUACAUUUGUUACAAACAAAUAACAAACCUGUUAGGUUUCUCUUCCGCUCAGCAAGGAAGCUAUUUGCCCCGACCACAAAUGCUAAUGAACUGCUUACAUGCACUGGGGUGUGUGCGUCUGUGUUUAAAAAUAGGAUCUGGGUAUAAAGCUGCAAACUUCAGGGCUGCAAAGCUGGCAGCUUGGUAUUACAUAAAAAUACCCAGCUGAUGGACAUCCAGAACCAACACUUGCUGUAAUAGCACACAGCAUUUUCGUCAAUUUUUACUCUUAUCAGCACAAGUUGUUAACCAGGAAAACGGUGGCAGAGCCAUCCUCUCUUAGACUAGAAACUGUCUAUCGAUGCAGACCUCUGUCUGUAGAUCCCUCUCCUGUGAGGAAAAUGAACAUGAAACAGAAGAGUUCCUAGCAGUCUGUUUUUUUCAUGGGCUCCGCUUUACUAGAAACUGUUUAACAGAGAAUUUUUCUUUAGAAUAAUUGCUGCUUCAGAUUUUAUAGCUAAAGGGUCAGCCCUCUUCAAGUACCCAAAGCCUAAUUCCCUUGGAUAAUCUGACAAUAAUCCCUUUUCUACAAAAGCAUUUUGGUACCAUCCCUUGGCCUGGACCAUCAACCUCCUCUCUUAAUGCCACCCAUCCUUCAGGGUCCACUCCAAGAUGACCACCCCAACUAUGCUCAGCCUUCCCAGAUGAUCGGAUUCCACACCACACCAAUGAUAACACCAGUAACAGCCUCUCUUUAUUGAGGGCCUACUCUUUGACAGAUACACUGUGCCAUCACUGCAGUUAAUCCUUAAAACUGCUAUUUUACCGAUGAAGAAAUUGAGGCUCAGAGACGUUCAGUAGCUUGCCCAAAAUUACACAGCUUGUAAAUGACUAGGGGGCUGGCAGGCCAGGAGAUCUAAUUCCAAACCCCAUGCUUUCUCUAUAACUCCACAUUGCUUCUUAUUUACUAUUUCUUUUUCCUAAAUAUGGUUUCCUCCCACAAGAGGCAUAGCUCAUGGUCCAGUCCCUGAGGAAAGGAACAGCAGCAAGGCACAGAGCUCCUGCUUGGUGCUCAUGAGUGUCUGUCCCAGGCUGAAUGGGGGAUUGGGUGAGGGGAGAUACCCCUGCAUUGGUACCUGGGACUUCUGGGAAUACCAGCUGCACUCCCCUGGAAUGCAAUAAAGACAUUUCUACCUUGAACACUAUUUCAGGUUUCAUUUCAAACACUUAGGAGAUAUGGUUGUAUGGUGUUACCCUGGCUUCUAACGUAGCCAACUCAGUGUGAUUUGAUGGACAUAACUGCUAGGUUAGGAGAGCUUAGCAGCAAGGUAGACCUUCUGUGACUAGGAAUGUUGAGUUACAGGAGAUUCUUCUUGAGAAAUAUUCAGAUUUCUGUCUUUCUUCUUUAUCCUCAUUACCUUAAGAUGGAUGACUGCUGGGAAGGACAACUGAGUACAAUUUCCCCGUUCAGGGAAGGUUCUGGAGGAAACACAACUCAUUGAAAUUAAAAGAUGGCUUCUGCCACAGAAGCUCCAUGACUGAGGAUAAAAAACCCAAGCAGAGAAUGACCCAAGCUGAAACUGUCCAGGAACACGCUUUCUAUAAAGUAGCUCAUGAGUGUCAUGGUCACAGCCACGGUACAGACCUGUGUGGGUGACUCAGCAGUUCCCUGACUUGUGCAGCAAAUUCUCUAGAAGGAACUAAGUUAUAUCCCAACUUGUAGCUGUCUAAGUGACAUGAAAGGAGAAGUAAAAACACAAUUUUGAGAAAAACAGUAUGGAGUUGCCUUUGCUAACUCUGAUACAUAAAGCAGUUUCUAUUUUCUUUCCUUUCUAACUUCUCCUUCAGAGAAACAUCUUCUUUGUCAGAAUAUUUCUUUUUCUUCCUUUCUUUUUUGCAAUGGACAGAGUUUCUCUAGACUUCAAAGGGAGACAUGGGAGGGGAGAACUAGGUCUUAUCUUUCUGCCUCUUACAAUGUGCGGUUACUAGAAUCUUAUUAGCAAGAAAGAAGAAUCACUGUACAAGAGAAAACACACCUGGAAAAUAUCCACACUUUAGUUUAUGAAGACUAUGUUUGGAAACCAAAACUGCAUGUUGUAUUAUCUUAUAUUUCUAAGUAGAUGCCUGAGAGAUGGGGGCCCCUGAAGGAGGAAAAAGGGGCAAGACGAUCAUCUUGUGUCCACUUGCACUUGGUUCCCUCAACCUCUCCCCACUUCAUCCUGGACAGAUGACACCCACGGAGAAGGCCAUGCUGAUCUUCAGGAUUUUAGGCUUACAGUGCCUUCAAGAACCUUACAUCUGGACCACCAGAAAGAACCCCGAGUGCUUGUGACUGAGGAUGGAGUGGGGCAAGGUAGAAAUGUGAAGGAUGGUUUCCAACAACAUGCCCCCACCAGCCCAGGAUUCCUUCUGGUAGGCCAGAGCUGGAUGGACUGUUCACUCUUUUAUCACAAACUAGAUCUUCACUAGGAGAAAAAGUUAGAACAGGUCACUUACUCCCAGCCCAGAUCCAUGCAGCCUAAAAAUUCUGUUAAAGCAAAAAAUGAAAAUUGGAGGAUAAAAGGAAGAAAUAAAAGGAAUAAAGAGCAGGAGAGAGAGACUCAAUUUCAGAGCGAUCACACUGGAUACAGGUCAAGGUUCAAAAUACUAAAACUGUUUUUAAUGUUCCACUAAGUAGCAGCCUCUCAGUGCCUCUAACAAGUGAUUUAAGACAAGUGGUCUGCUCCCAAGGGGGCUCAUGAAUCUCCAUGCAUGACGGUUAGAUCGAGAGAGUCUGGAGUCACACAGUUGGAAAGGUGGCAAUGCAAAGGUCAGAAAUACAAGGGAGGAGUCCAUCCAUCAACCCUGACAGGCGGGCAUGCCCAGGAUGGCAGAAGGGACAGAAGCCAUCUGGUAGCUUUGCUUGCAAGACCAGAUUAAGAAAGCACUAGCCCAGAAACCACAAAGGAGAAGAUGGAGCUGUAUUUCCGGAGGAAAAAGCAAAGACUUCUACCCAAAGCUGAGGUAAGAGCUUUAUUUUAUUAUUUUUUUUCCCAGUGAUGAAGAAAGAAUUCUACUUCCCUCUGAUUUGAAUUAUUUUUAACAUACAUGCCUCAGCUUUGAUGCCCAACACGUCUGGCCAUGUCUCUCUUCCCCUGCCUGAGAUUUUUCAGUAGCUUCCCACUGCCUAGAGCGUAAAACGUAAACUCCACCGCAUGGCACCAAAGGCCAUCACGAAGAGACCUCUGCCUAACACUUCUUGUCUUCUUCCCGCAUUCUCAGCUCAGACUUCAGAGGAGUUGCACCUUCCAGAACACAUUACACUGUCUCAUGAUUUUCCCUCUGCUUCGAACACUUUCUCCUGCUUGCUUGCCUUCCUGCCCAAAUUUUACUCAUCCGCUAUAACCCAUCUAAAACUCCAGCUCCUCUGUGAAUCCUGACUUCUAAGGCGUUCCCUCUCCUGGAUGCCCACAGAACUUGAAUGUGUUUCCAUUCUACUGAUUAUCUUUUACCGUAAUAGAGACUAGAGCUGUAUCUUUCCAUCUUUUUGCAACCAGUGCCUAGCACACAGGCAGUGCCCCAAACAUAUUCAGAAUAUUCAGAUAUCAUUUGUUUCAAUUCUACAUGUAUACAUAUUUAAUUACACACACACACACACACACACACACACACACACACACACUGUCAUCACCUCCUGCAUCUCUAGGGUUGUGGGUUCUAGUUAGGACACUGGUUAGAAGUUUUUGACCAGGGCCCCAAGGUUGGGACAGAUGUGAUGUGAUGAACAGAGUGAGUGGUCUAUCUGAAAUCAAGUUUGAAACCUGGAAAUGAAUGGCUUCAAAUGCUUAGAAGUAUUUCCUAUCCACAGUCCUUAGCCUUCAACUCAGAGUAUAAAUGUUCGCACGUGGGGGGUAGGGAGGUUGUAAAUCAAAGUGAGUGAGAGCAGACAGAGGGGGUACAGGGUCUUGUGCAGAGUCUCACUCCUGGUCCCCCCCUUCCAGCCUCCUGGGCAAAUGGCCCCUGGCUAGUGGCUCUAUAUAAAGAGUCAUUUAUUAUUUCCAUCCAUUUUAACUAGCCUUUUCCCAAGAACCACAGAAUGUCAAAGAUGCUGAGGUAAGCACUUGAGACUUUUGUAAAUGUCAAAGGCAGUGGAGCCAGACUCCGAGAAAGUCAGAUAAAUGCAGGAAGGGACCCCUUGCAUUCCAAAGCAUGUGCAGAAAAGUGUAGAAAAGUACAGAAGUGGGUAUUUAUGUACAAAGGAAUUUUUGAAAUAGUUCAUUGUACAGAGAUAUAAUUCUGCUCCAAAACCUCAAUUUUCAAGAAGUCUGGCAUGAAACUGACAGGAGAAGAAAGGGGUAUCUAAAUCUGGAAUAUUCUGCACUUCUGAAACUGGGUGUAGUUGGUAGUUUGUAGGUGUGCUCACCUCUCAUCAGGAAAUAAACUGCUGGAUUUACAAAUGUUAAGAACUCAUUAUUUGGGCACGUUAAACAAGCAUACCAGGUCUGUGAUCUUCUAGAGAUCUAAAAACUGCUACUGCCACCACAGGGGAGACAGGAGUUUUACUAGGAAUUAGGAAUACACUGCUAUAAUAAUCCAUAAUAUAUUCAUGGUGGAGUUGGAAUAGUAUUUUCACUAUACAUACCAGGUACACAGUGGGUUAAACAGGCAUUGCAGAUGAUCAGAAGGUAAAACAUUAUUUCUAGAGAGAAAUGUAUCUUUAAAUGAUCAAACAUCUGCCUUACAAAUUACUUUGCCUGUUCCAAGUUAGGAACUACCUGUAUAAAUCAUUCAGACACACUGAUGAAAAAAAAAAUCCCCUCUUCUACUUUUCAUGCAGAGUGAAGAAUAUAGGAUCAAUUAGUUUCACAAGUGUAUAGUCUGACUUACUACUUUAUACAGCAAGUUGCUCCAAGGAAGGUAGAGUAUCUCCUAAGUGUUCUGCAUUUCAUCACAGUGGAGGAGGUUUUUGUAACCUAGCAAAUGUACGCCAUGCAAAAAUAGGACCCAGAAAGACUGACAGCCUGGAAUUCUGGAGUGAACCCAAUACAAUGAAAUUCAAUACAGAUGAAGUGCCUCCCUUACCUUAGUGGAUGGUGUGGUGGAAAGGGCAUGACACACAUUUCGCUCCUGACACUCCACUUAUUAGCACUCUGCCCCUCUGAGCACUAGCUUUCUUCUCUGUAAUGUGGGCAUAAUUACAUGCACAUCACAAAAUUAUUGUACAGAUUAAGUGAAAUCAUGCAUUUACAAUGAAUAUGGUAAAUGUGGUACAUAUUGGGCGAAUGCAUCAUAGUUACCUCUUCUUUCCUUGUAAAAUGUAAUUCACUUUUUGGGGUGUCUGCCUGCAGACAGAGAACACACUUUAUGGUCUGUGCCUCCACGCAGUACGUUUUACAAGACAGUCCCCACAUAAGAAGUCUGUAGUUUUCUAGUAUUCCCUGUGGGAAAGUCCAGCUAAUUCUAGAGUCCAGGAUUGGGAAGCCCAUUGCUGUGGUACACCUAAGCCACAUCCUCCUACCUAGCCUUUAUCAGUAUUAAAGGUGAAUUUUUUAAUUAAUAAAAAAAAGCAUCUGCUGAAAUAUAAGAUGGGGUAAUGGCUUAGUAGUAGCAUGAGGGAAAAAAGACUAGGAGUUUAGGUGAGUAUCAAAUUCAAUAUAAGUUAGGGAUCUGGUGUAGCUAAUGUGUAAUAUGUAGUGUGAUAGAGGUAUGGAGGGGAGUGACACCUCAGGAGGGAGACUGUAUGUCCCCAUAUCCCAACUCCCAAAAUGCCUUGUCAUAACAUCCCAUAGCAAAACAAAAUACCUGCCAGAAACAUGAUAAGAUGUGGAACAUGAAAACAUGAGCUUACCUAGCUCAGCCGUGAAACUUAAGUUAUGAUUAUAUUGGUUUUGUAUUAAUGCAACAUAAUUCAAGAUUAAAACCUAAAAACCAAGUAACCUUAGUUCCAUCUUAAGGAGAAACCUACCAAUUCAACAACAGGUUAUAGCUUCUCCUCCACCCUAACCACCCUCCCCAUCCCUUCUCCACACUCAGCCCAUGUACCCAGGAAUGCCUUUGAUCAGUAAAGACUCUACAGUAGUGGUUCUCAGCCUCAGUUGCAUGAUAUACCCCAGAAGUCUGUACAAAUCUUGAACCCAGGUCAGUAAAGUCCAGGUGAUUCCAAUGCACAGUCAAGGUCAAGAACCACUACUCUAGAAUGCUGGUCCCACUUGAACCCAGAGGAUGGUACCAGUUCUGGUCCACAAACUUGAGGAAGAUUGGAGAGAGUUGGGAGCCUGUUCAAAUGAGAAUGACCAGGAUAGUGACAGAAGGACAACUGGCAAGGGACAUGGAGAUGAGGAGAAUAUACUCAGGGGGUGUAUAAUCGAUACUUAACAUACGUGGAGUUGAUACUACCCAAAGCAAUCUACAUAUUCAGUGCAAUUCCUAUCAAAAUAACACCAGCAUUAUUCACAGAACUAGAAUAAAUAGUCCUAAAAUUUGUAGGGAACCAGAAAAGAUCCCAAAUAGCCAAAGAAAUCUUGAAAAAGAAAACCAAAGCAGGAGGCAUCAUAACUCUGGAUUUCAGGCUAUACUACAAAGCUGUAAUCAUCAAGACAGUAUGGUACUGGCACAAGAACAGACACACAGAUCAAUGGAACAGAAUAGAGAACCGAGAAAUGGACCCACAAAUGUAUGGUCAAUUAAUCUUUGACAAAGCAGGAAAGAAUAUCCAUGGAAUAAAGACAGUCUCUUCAGCAAGUGAUGCUCGGAAAACUGGGCAGCGACAUGCAGAAGAACGAACCUGGACCACUUUCUUACACCAUACACAAAAAUAAACUCAAAAUGGAUGAAAGACCUAAAUGUAAGACAGGAAGCCAUCAAAAUCCUCGAGGAGAAAGCAGGCAAAAACCUCUUUGAUCUUAGCCGCAGCAGCUUCUUACUCAACACGUCUCAGGAGGCAAGGUAAACAAAAGCAAAUAUGAACUACUGGGACCUCAUCAAAAUAAAAAAGCUUCUGCACAGCAAAGGAAACAAUCAGCAAAACUAAAAGGCAACUGACAGAAUGGGAGAAGAUAUUUGCAAACGACAUAUCAGAUAAAGGGUUAGGAUCCAAAAUCUAUAAAGAACUUAUCAAACUCAACACCCAAAAAACAAAUAAUCCAGUGAAGAAAUGGGCGAAAGACAUGAAUAUGUCUUCUCCAAAGAAGACAUCUAGAUGGCCAACUGACACAUGAAAAAAUGCUCCACAUCACUCAUCAUCAGGGAAAUACAAACUGAGAUACCACCUCACACCUGUCAGAAUGGCUAACAUUAACAACUCAGGCAACAACAGAUGUUGGUGAGGAUGUGGAGAAAGAGGAUCCCUUUUGCACUGCUGGUGGGAAUGCAAGCUGGUGCAGCCACUCUGGAAAACGGUAUGGAGGCUCUUCAAAAAACUAAAAAUAGAACUACCCUACGACCCAGCAAUUGCACUACUAGGUAUUAAUCCAAGGGAUACAGGUGUGCUGUUUCGAAGGGACACAUGCACCCCAAUGUUUAUAGCAGCACUAUCGACAAUAGUCAAAGUAUGGAAAGACCCCAAAUGUCCAUCAAUGGAUGAAUGGAUAAAGAAGAUGUGGUAUAUAUAUAUACAAUGGAGUAUUACUCGGCAAUCAAAAAGAAUGAAAUCUUGCCAUUUGCAACUAUGUGGAUAGAACUGGAGGGUAUUUUGCUAAGUGAAAUUAGAGAAAGACAAAUAUCAUAUGACUUUACUGAUAUGAGGACUUUAAGAGACAAAACAGAUGAACAUAAGGGAAGGGAAACAAAAAUAAUAUAAAAACAGGGAGGGGAACAAAACAUAAGAGACUCAUAAAUAUGGAGAACAAACUGAGGGUUACUGGAAGGGGUGAGGGAGGGGGGAUGGGCUAAAUGGGUAAGGGGCACUAAGGAAUCUACUCCUGAAAUCACUGUUGCACUAUAUGCUAACUAAUUUGGAUAUAAAUUAAAAAUAAAAUAAAAUAAAAUAAAAUAGAAUAAAAUAAAAUAAAAAGUGUUAUGUGAAAACAGAGAUGGGUCAGUUAUAAAUGUUUAUUUCAAACUUCAGGAAAAAUUAAAAAAAAAAUUUUUUAAUGAAAAAAUAAAUAAAUAAAAAUAAAAUACCUGGAGCCCUGUCAAGUGUAGGAAAAAAAUUGUUUUGUUCUCCCUGCAUGACUAUCAAAGGAUGGAAACUAGAGGGAAAUGAUUUCAGUUCAAUCUCAGGAAGAACUUUCUUAGAAGGAGAACUCUUCAAAGAUGAAGAGGCCCUGAGGGAACGCACAACCCACAGCUGGACGUGAAUGAGCGCAGACUGGUGUGAGGCCCCAGAGGCCAGAGAUUCUAUAAUGGGAAAUCAGACAUCAGAUGGGGGAUCAGACUGGACAGCUUUUCAGGUCUGGUGCAGCUCUGUGAUUUCCGGGGCUUGAUGCUAGUAAUGGACUAAGUUAUCAACUUUACAUGAUGAAGAAAAAAAUUUCGUUUAACUCAGGAAAACAAAUCCAUUAAUAACCCUUACCUAAUGGGUACACAUGAGUGGGCUGGGAUGUAGGAACAAACCCAAGAAGACUAAAAUGCCCCAGAGCUCUUUCCACAAUACCAUACAGUUCAUUAGAACAAUUCAAAAUACAGCCGUGAAAGGCAGCUACGCUGAAUGCCCUCUCUGCAGCAGCUCUCCAGGAGCUAUCUGAUUUGAGAAGGCAGACACUCUGGAGGAGCUCCCUGCUGUUUAUAUGGCUGUCCAAGUUAAUUAUCCCUAUAUUUUCAGAUGAAGUGAAUGGUAAUCUGUUUAUCUAGGUCAAAUGUUUGGAGCUGCCUCUGUCCCUUGAUAGUCAUACAAAAAUACAUAGUGUUAUCCUUCUGGGCAUUAUAAGAAAAGAUCAGGUUAAAAAAAUAGCAUCUACUUCUUUAUAGGUUCAACACAGUAAGCCCUUAUUUGUAAAGUACUCUAAUUAAACCUAACUCUAAACAAGUAGUUUAUAAUGGGAUUUUUUUAAAAAAGAAAAGAAAUUUUGAAUUCAUGCCAUCUUGUUGUCCUGAGAUUAUGAAUAUGUUUCCCCAUAGAGAUAAUGAAAAGCUGACUUCUGGUUUCUGCAACCAUUCCUAAGAGUAGUCACUUCCACUGAACAAGGAAAAAUGCAUGGUACUACCAUAGACAGCUAAUAAAGUGCAGGUAUUGAUUACCAGAGCAAAGAGGGGUGUUGGACUGGAGGAAGAAACUUUAUAUGUAACAAUGCAUGUGGGGGAGAAUGUGAUUUAACAUGCAAAAUAAAAUCUCUGGAAGGGUAGGUGUUUCCUAAUGUCAUCUACGAUUAAGAUGUACUUUAAGGUCAUCUCAUUUUGGAUCAAGUCAGUCAGAGUGAACUGAGGAUAGAGUUAGGGUGGGUAUGCCCACCUGGGAGAAAGGAUUAAUAGGAAACCUGCUGUGGGUGGGGAUGGGAAUAAGGACAGUCUUGGUUUGGUCCUGGAGGAAUGGAACCUUUAGAGGACUACAGAAUCACUGAGCAGCUAAAGUUACAAACUCCCAUCCAUCUAUGUCCCUUUGAGACACUUUUCUGUACUAACUAGAUCCAACAUGUCUAACGUUAUUACAUGCAAGGCAUCUAACCAAACGUGAGCAUACAGCAAUGAUGGGAAGACUAAGACAUGCCUGCUGCCAUCUUCGAGUCUCAGGAGGAUAAUGCUAUUAAGACCUCCACACUCAGGGCGCCUGGGUGGCUCAGUCGGUUGAGCAUCCGACUUCGGCUCAGGUCAUGAUCUCACAGUUCAUGAGUUCAAGCCCCACGUCAGGCUCUGUGCUGACAGCUCAGAGCCUGGAGCCUGCUUCGGAUUCUGUGUCUCCCUCUCUCUGCCCCUUCCCUGCUCAUGCUCUGUCGCUCUCUGUC